rnacentral:rRNA from 1 species
GGUUAAUAUUCCUGUACUUGGUGUUACUGCGAAGGGGGGACGGAGAAGGCAAUGUUGGCCGGGCGACGGUUGUCCCGGUUUAAGCGUGUAGGCUGGUUUUCCAGGCAAAUCCGGAAAAUCAAGGCUGAGGCGUGAUGACGAGGCACUACGGUGCUGAAGCAACAAAUGCCCUGCUUCCAGGAAAAGCCUCUAAGCAUCAGGUAACAUCAAAUCGUACCCCAAACCGACACAGGUGGUCAGGUAGAGAAUACCAAGGCGCUUGAGAGAACUCGGGUGAAGGAACUAGGCAAAAUGGUGCCGUAACUUCGGGAGAAGGCACGCUGAUAUGUAGGUGAAGCGACUUGCUCGUGGAGCUGAAAUCAGUCGAAGAUACCAGCUGGCUGCAACUGUUUAUUAAAAACACAGCACUGUGCAAACACGAAAGUGGACGUAUACGGUGUGACGCCUCCCCGGUGCCGGAAGGUUAAUUGAUGGGGUUAGCCGCAAGGCGAAGCUCUUGAUCGAAGCCCCGGUAAACGGCGGCCGUAACAAUAACGGUCCUAAGGUAGCGAGAUUCCUUGUCGGGUAAGUUCCGACCUGCACGAAUGGCGUAAUGAUGGCCAGGCUGUCUCCACCCGAGACUCAGUGAAAUUGAACUCGCUGUGAAGAUGCAGUGUACCCGCGGCAAGACGGAAAGACCCCGUGAACCUUUACUAUAGCUUGACACUGAACAUUGAGCCUUGAUGUGUAGGAUAGGUGGGAGGCUUUGAAGUGUGGACGCCAGUCUGCAUGGAGCCGACCUUGAAAUACCACCCUUUAAUGUUUGAUGUUCUAACGUUGACCCGUAAUCCGGGUUGCGGACAGUGUCUGGUGGGUAGUUUGACUGGGGCGGUCUCCUCCUAAAGAGUAACGGAGGAGCACGAAGGUUGGCUAAUCCUGGUCGGACAUCAGGAGGUUAGUGCAAUGGCAUAAGCCAGCUUGACUGCGAGCGUGACGGCGCGAGCAGGUGCGAAAGCAGGUCAUAGUGAUCCGGUGGUUCUGAAUGGAAGGGCCAUCGCUCAACGGAUAAAAGGUACUCCGGGGAUAACAGGCUGAUACCGCCCAAGAGUUCAUAUCGACGGCGGUGUUUGGCACCUCGAUGUCGGCUCAUCACAUCCUGGGGCUGAAGUAGGUCCCAAGGGUAUGGCUGUUCGCCAUUUAAAGUGGUACGCGAGCUGGGUUUAGAACGUCGUGAGACAGUUCGGUCCCUAUCUGCCGUGGGCGCUGGAGAACUGAGGGGGGCUGCUCCUAGUACGAGAGGACCGGAGUGGACGCAUCACUGGUGUUCGGGUUGUCAUGCCAAUGGCACUGCCCGGUAGCUAAAUGCGGAAGAGAUAAGUGCUGAAAGCAUCUAAGCACGAAACUUGCCCCGAGAUGAGUUCUCCCUGACUCCUUGAGAGUCCUGAAGGAACGUUGAAGACGACGACGUUGAUAGGCCGGGUGUGUAAGCGCAGCGAUGCGUUGAGCUAA